rnacentral:rRNA from 1 species
UACGUAGGGUGCAAGCGUUGUCCGGAAUUAUUGGGCGUAAAGAGCUCGUAGGCGGUUCGUCGCGUCGGCUGUGAAAACCCGGAGCUCAACUCCGGGCCUGCAGUCGAUACGGGCGGACUUGAGUGUUGCAGGGGAGACUGGAAUUCCUGGUGUAGCGGUGAAAUGCGCAGAUAUCAGGAGGAACACCGGUGGCGAAGGCGGGUCUCUGGGCAACUACUGACGCUGAGGAGCGAAAUCGUGGGGAGCGAACAGG